CCAUGCCCCACCCCUCCAUGCCCCACUCCUUGCUCACCUUUAUGACUUCCAUUCUUUAAUGAUCUUUCAUUCGGAUAAAACUGAGUGUUUUUUUAAUGCUCUAAAUGCUGUUGAAGACUGCUGUUAAAAAAUAUAUUGUUAUUUUAUAUAAAAAACACUGGGUGGUUAUUGUGUUUGGUUUUAUUGGGUUGUAAGGUGUAAAGUUCUCCAGUACCAAAUGUUGGCUUACCAGAACAUUGCUGCACAACGGCAGUGCCAUUAUUGGGUUUUCUGGAAAUAAUAAUCUUGGGUUUAAUGGGUUUUGGGUUGAACCUCUGGUACGGUUCUGCAAAAAGCAGCAAAAAUCCUUCUUUGCCAAUCCACCUGAAUCUUUACUGGAAUUUAACAAGCACUCUUAUCCAGAGUGAGUUACAGUGUAAUCUAUGCAGUACAGGUGGAUGAUGGUGUGAUCAUUGCAAAAAAACAAAAAAGAAGUCAAUCUUAACAAGCAUUUUAGACUUUAAAUCUUAUUCCUAUUCCUUUUUUGCUAAAUAAGACAAAAAGAUUUGCCAACAAGGUGAGAGUUUCACUUUUCAAACAAAAAGUAACUUAAAACAAGCUUAAUAUUUUCUCCUGGAGAUAAAGCAGGAAGAUUUUAAGUCUCAUUGCAACACUAAUUGCAAGACAUUUUUUUUUGCAGUGAUGACCUGAGAGGUGUAUCGGGGUUUACAAUCCUUCUCUUAUUUCAGACAAGUGGACAAGUGUGACACCAACAACAUUCUUCAUGUCGUCAGUCCAGUCGAAGGAGCUGAACCUGUGUGCCAGUGUGCUGGAGAGGUCACCAGCAGCACAAACGUGUCCAUUAACAAAGCCAGCUUUCAAGAUGUGGGCCUGAUGGAGUCCACUUCCUGUCCUGUGGACAAAGGCAGGAAGUGAAGCCGGAGGAGGGGGAAAGGGUGGAAACCAAAGAGAACGGAGGACCUGAACGUGAGCCUCAGGAGUUCUCUGAAACAAACCCACCAUGUUUGGGCGAAAGAGGAGAGUCGUGGACAAGGAGGCAGGCAGAAUCUCGCCGUUCCUAAUCAGGAGGAAGCAGACGGGGGUGUGUGAGGCGUACCAGCUGUCCCAGCUGAGGAUCGUGCUGCUGGGGGAGAGCGGGGCGGGGAAGAGCUCGGCGGGGAACGCCAUCCU